rnacentral:rRNA from 1 species
UACGGGGGGGGCAAGCGUUGUUCGGAAUUACUGGGCGUAAAGGGUGCGUAGGCGGUCCGCUAAGUUGGAUGUGAAAACUCUGGGCUUAACCCAGAGCCUGCAUUCAAAACUGACGGGCUAGAGUUCUGGAGGGGGUAGCGGAAUUCCUGGUGUAGCGGUGAAAUGCGUAGAUAUCGUAAGGAAGACCAGUGGUGAAGGCGGGUCUCUGGACAGUUCCUGACGCUGAGGCACGAAGGCCAGGGGAGCAAACGGG